UGCAGUCGAGCGGACUUAAAAANUAUGCUUUUUAAGUUAGCGGCGGACGGGUGAGUAACACGUGGGCAACCUGCCUGUAAGACUGGGAUAACUUCGGGAAACCGGAGCUAAUACCGGAUAAUCCUUUUCUACUCAUGUAGGAAAGCUGAAAGACGGUUUACGCUGUCACUUACAGAUGGGCCCGCGGCGCAUUAGCUAGUUGGUGAGGUAACGGCUCACCAAGGCGACGAUGCGUAGCCGACCUGAGAGGGUGAUCGGCCACACUGGGACUGAGACACGGCCCAGACUCCUACGGGAGGCAGCAGUAGGGAAUCUUCCGCAAUGGACGAAAGUCUGACGGAGCAACGCCGCGUGAGUGAUGAAGGUUUUCGGAUCGUAAAACUCUGUUGUUAGGGAAGAACAAGUACGAGAGUAACUGCUCGUACCUUGACGGUACCUAACCAGAAAGCCACGGCUAACUACGUGCCAGCAGCCGCGGUAAUACGUAGGUGGCAAGCGUUGUCCCGAAUUAUUGGGCGUAAAGCGCGCGCAGGCGGUCCUUUAANUCUGAUGUGAAAGCCCCCGGCUCAACCGCGGAGGGUCAUUGGAAACUGGGGGACUUGUGUGCCGAAAAGAAGAGUGGAAUUCCACGUGUAGCGGUGAAAUGCGUANAGAUGUGGAGGAACACCAGUGGCGAAGGNGACUCUUUUGUCUGUAA
rnacentral:rRNA from 2 species